rnacentral:rRNA from 1 species
UGGGGGAUAUUGCACAAUGGGCGAAAGCCUGAUGCAGCGACGCCGCGUGGGGGAUGAAGGCUUUCGGGUUGUAAACCUCUUUCGCUAUCGAACAAGGCCCGCUUAGGGUGGGUUGAGGGUAGGUGGAGAAGAAGCGCCGGCUAACUACGUGCCAGCAGCCGCGGUAAUACGUAGGGCGCGAGCGUUGUCUGGAAUUAUUGGGCGUAAAGGGCUUGUAGGCGGCUUGUUGCGCCUGCUGUGAAAACGCGGGGCUUAACUUCGCGCGUGCAGUGGGUACGGGCAGGCUUGAGUGUGGUAGGGGUGACUGGAAUUCCAGGUGUAGCGGUGGAAUGCGCAGAUAUCUGGAGGAACACCGAUGGCGAAGGCAGGUCACUGGGCCAUUACUGACGCUGAGGAGCGAAAGCAUGGGUAGCGAACAGGA